AGUGGACGCUGGCGGUAGGCCUAACACAUGCAAGUCGAACGGCAGCACAGUAAGAGCUUGCUCUUACGGGUGGCGAGUGGCGGACGGGUGAGGAAUACAUCGGAAUCUACUUUUUCGUGGGGGAUAACGUAGGGAAACUUACGCUAAUACCGCAUACGACCUACGGGUGAAAGCAGUGGAUCUUCGGACCUUGCGCGAUUGAAUGAGCCGAUGUCGGAUUAGCUAGUUGGCGGGGUAAAGGCCCACCAAGGCGACGAUCCGUAGCUGGUCUGAGAGGAUGAUCGGCCACACUGGAACUGAGACACGGUCCAGACUACUACGGGAGGCAGCAGUGGGGAAUAUUGGACAAUGGGCGCAAGCCUGAUCCAGCCAUACCGCGUGGGUGAAGAAGGCCUUCGGGUUGUAAAGCCCUUUUGUUGGGAAAGAAAAGCAGCAGGUUAAUACCCCGCUGUUCUGACGGUACCCAAAGAAUAAGCACCGGCUAACUUCGUG
rnacentral:rRNA from 1 species